rnacentral:rRNA from 1 species
CAGUAGCCACGGUAAUACGUAGGUGGCAAGCGUUGUCCGGAAUUAUUGGGCGUAAAGGGCUCGCAGGCGGUUUCUUAAGUCUGAUGUGAAAGCCCCCGGCUCAACCGGGGAGGGUCAUUGGAAACUGGGAAACUUGAGUGCAGAAGAGGAGAGUGGAAUUCCACGUGUAGCGGUGAAAUGCGUAGAGAUGUGGAGGAACACCAGUGGCGAAGGCGACUCUCUGGUCUGUGACUGACGCUGAGGAGCGAAAGCGUGGGGAGCGAACAGGAUUAGAUACCCCGGUAGUCCCUGUCUCUUAUAU